AAUAUUGGACAAUGGGCGAAAGCCUGAUCCAGCCAUGCCGCGUUUGUUAAGAAGAACUUCGGAAUGUAAAGCACGUUAAUUCGGGAGGAAGGGUUGUAGAUUAAUACUCUGCAAUUUUGACGUUACCGACAGAAUAAGCACCUGCUAACUCCGUGCCAUCAGCCGAGGUACUACGAAGGGUCCAAGCGUUAAGCGGAAUUAUUGGGCGGAAAGCACGCGUAGGUGGUUCGUUAAGUUGGAUGUGAAAGCCCCGGGCUCAACCUGGGCACUGCAUCCAAAACUGGCGAGCUAGAGUACGGUAGAGGGUGGUGGAAUUUCAUGUGUAGCGGUGAGAUACGUAGAUAUAGGAAGGAACAUCAGUGGCGAAGGCGACCACCUGGGCUAAUACUGACACUGAGGUGCGAAAGCGUGGGGAGCAAACAGG
rnacentral:rRNA from 1 species